UUGAACUUAUACAAUGUGCUUUAUUGAGCUUUACGCUACACUUACUAACGUCUUUUCCUUGUUAUAAGCUAGAUAAAUGAUGUAGGUAACACAGGGAUAAGCUCCAUAUCCUAUUAUGAAACUUUGAUGGAAAAAAUAAUUAAAAAAGGAAGGGAGAUAAAAAAAAAUAACAAUGCAAUGGAAUAGAAUGAAAUGGAGGGGAAAAAAAAGAGCAUAGAGAGAGUGAUAAGGGGUUAGGAGCAUAAUUGCUAAACAACAAUCUGCAAUUCAACAAAGAAGUAGCAGCUGUAGAAAAGGCUUAGAGGAGGCUAAAGGGAAGGGAGAGAUAUAGAGAAGCAGCACCUUAAGCAUUAUAAAAGAUUUUCGUAAGUUUGCUUUAUGCGGUAAGAAAUGCAUGCCUUUGUUGUUGGUGGUGGACAAGUCCAGCCAAAGGAGGCUAGUGGUGUACGUAACGAGAGGAUCAGCUUGAAUGUUUUACUUUGUAUGACUCAAGCAAGUGGUGUACGUUA